CUGAACAAACCUCAGGACAUUCCCCCUGCCUCAGUUUCCUCAUCUCGAAAAUGGAGUUAGUGGUGAAGUUCUGAGGUUCUGUCUGUCUCCUUCCCUCCGGAUUCCUGGCACACCCAGCCCCAUCACGGGGUUGAGAGCAGUGACUCGGCAGAAAUGAAAGCUCGAGACUGCUAGCAACCCAAUGAGGACACACGGUCCAGGAACAAGCUGUGGAACUAGGAUUGUGCCCGCCUCCGUCACUCCGGUGCCUCACUUGUAGAUUUGUACUUCUCCUCCCUGCAGCCUGAGAUUUUGUCAGAGAAGAGGCCCAGUGGCGGUGAAUGAACAGCCCCUGCAGGGUCUGGCCAGGCAACUGCAGGCCAACAGUGCCUCACCCUGAGUUACAUCUCUCUUCCUGCCCUGGGAGUUCACUGAUGCCCCGUAUGGGAUGUCCCUUUCCCCAUCAGGAACCCACUCAGAGAUCAGCUGUAACACCAUUCAGGCCAAGCCUUGAUCCAAGGGAGACGGAGCUAUGGGGUGCCUCCCCCUUUCUUCCCCCAGGCAGAUGGUCCCAAGAUGCAUUUCAUAAGGAAUCUCGGACAACCUGGGGGCCUGGGCACCCAGGUUGCCUUAAUGGGUCUUUAAAGAGGUAAUUAAGUUAAAAUGAGGUCAUCAGGAUGGCCCUAAUCCAAUAUGACUGGUGUCCUUCUAAGAAGAGGAGAUCGGGACGCAGACACGCACAGAGGAAGGAUCAUGUGAAGACACAGCAAGAAGAUGGCCACCUACAAGCCAAGGAGGGAGGCCUCAGAAGAAACCAACUCUGCCUAUACCUUGACCAUGGGUUUCCAGUCUCCAGGCUAGAAGAAAAUAAAUUUCUGUUG